rnacentral:misc_RNA from 1 species
AAAUUCGCCUAUCCUCAAGGAGAUAACUGUUGAAUGCAUGAAGAAUCCUGACUUCAACCAGGAUGAAGUAAAGGCAGUAUUGGUGCCAUUAUGUAUGGCUUCAACAGAAUUCAAUUGGGUUGGAGGGACUUAUGAUUCCGGCAGUGAUGAUUCCUCAGAUUCCGAUGACAACUCAAACAGUCCAUACUCUUCUGAUAGUGAUUAGUUCUCAGGCAUAUCCUUAUUCUGAUUUUCAAAGGGGAGUGGACAACGCUGAAAAAGAAUGGUGGAGUUGUUUGAUCUCAAAUUUUUGCACUAGGAUGGCUUUGGUUUUGGACUGAGAAUUGCAUUACAUGAAUGAGAGAAAGCAAGAGAGUUGCAUGACUUGUUGCUGUUUAAAGUGUACAUGAAUAAAUUGAUGAGUGCAUCUGUUUAUGCAUAUAUUUUACACCUUAACCUUCCUCUCCCUUCUUAAGCUCCAUAAUGGGGCCUGAAUAAAGAAUAUCCAUCCCUUAAGAUACUCCUUUCCUGUUUUCUCUUUCAAUCCCAAACAAAAACAAGAGCAAUUGGGACUAACUAUUACUAAAAAGUAAAAAUUUGUGCUUUUCCUCCAAUUCCACAGAAAAAUUGGGCUUCAACAAAACCCAAUAAAAAAAGGAGACAAAUAUAACUUGAGCACAAUUACCUGCAAGGGAACGACCGUUGACAUUUCAACAAAAGGGCAAGGCCCCAUGUUGGUCCAAAGACUCUACGCUGGAUAGAGGGACAAUUUAGCGGUGGUGAUAAUAAUGGCCGCUCUUUUCUUGUUUGGCAUUUAUAAGAGUUUCCUUUUAUGUCUUUUCCCUGCCUUCAUCUGCCCAUCAUUCUGGCUUCCAUUAUAUGUCACCGACUCUUCAUCACAGACCAGGUUCUGCACAUUCUGCUGCCAGUAAUAAUGACAAUAAGGAGAAAGUGGAGGCUGUGAAGAAAGUGGAGGUAAUGGAUAAAACCCAGGAGCAUUCCCCUCUUUCCACAUAGGAUAGUAUAGUCCAUGUGGAGGAGGAAAAUGUUGGCUACCAAGAAGAGCUGUACCAUUCUUGAUGAACUCUUUUCGAUGAAAAUUUCUGUGACAAUCACAGGCCUCACAAAGAAGAGCUUCUUUAGUACCUUGAUCACCUUUUGGUGUGAACUCUCCACACCCAUCUGCUGCAUAGCCGCCAAUCAAGACUGCAUGGUUACGUCUACACUCUCUAUACUGGAUAGUGGUUUCCCUUGAUUCUUCACUGAGUUGUUUGGACUUUAAUUUACUAUUAGCCAUGAGACAUCAGAGAGAGAAAGAGAGAGAGAGA